rnacentral:rRNA from 1 species
UUGGCUUUACCCGAAGACGGUGCGCUAACCGCAAGGAGGCAGCCGGCCACGGUAAGGCCAGCGACUGGGGUGAAGUCGUAACAAGGUAGCCGUAGGUGAACCUGCAGAAGGAUCA